UUGUCCUUGUCCGCCUCUUUGUCAUCCUCCGCCUUUCCCUUCCUGAAGAGGCACAGCGCUGCUCAACAACUAGGCCACACACUGAGAGGUCCGACAGGAGAUUAUUUGGGAAGGGCUCCUCCUUCUGGAUACCAGAGAAAUGUAAAUGCUGAGAUGCAGAUGCAUCACCAUGCCACCCUCAUCUGUGAGCUCAGCCCUUGCUGGGAGAUUAAAAAAGCCUGAACCUCCACUAAGCAUAACCUUCGUUGGUUCACGCAGAUCACAGUCUCAAUCAAGUCCCUGUUGGCACUUUGUCUGACAACUUCUCCAGAGGAAGGAAGGAGUGAAAGGGAGCUGAUUUCUAGUUUGCACUAUAUCACUUGACCUGGUUCUGCUGAGGCAGAAUUUUGGAACUUAACCUAACUCCAAAGGCGUCCUAAUAUUUGAACAAUUUUUUGGAGGUCCUAUAAUCCAGACAAACUUCAGAAAUUGCAAUAGUCAACCUAGAGUGACACUGCUUCCUGAGGUCCAUUCAAUAACUGAUUUCAUCAGUGUGAUGGUUUAUUUUCUGUG